rnacentral:misc_RNA from 1 species
AAAAACUCCAAAUAUAUAACAGCUGGUUUGCUCCACUAUCACUUCAUUCUUUGUUUUAAAGUCUAAUAAUAGGAAAUGCUUUCCCUUUCUGAUUGAUUUCUGCUUUCUUGAAAGACUCUACACCUUCUUGUCUUUUCUUUUUCUGUUCUUCUUUACAGAAAGUUUCUUGAUUUGCUGUUUCCUUUCUGGAAUGUUUUCUAUGAAGUUAAGUUCUCAUUUUCUUGCAGAGAUUAGAUGGUACAAUUUCUAGCUAGCUGCUGAUUAAUUUAUUGGAAUGAGAGGAUCAAUAAUGGGUAACUCACCAGCUAAUGUUGAAGCUAGGCAUCGUUUGUCUUCUUCAAUAGAAGACAUAUACAAAAGAAGGUUACAGAAAAACAAAGUGAAAGGUGUUGAAAAGCCUUUCCACAUCCCCAUCCAAGACAGGAGUUCAUGCUGCAAGUUUCCACUCCUGAAACUUGCUCUUGUGAUUCUCAUUUGCUGCACUAUUGUAACACUCUUUCACUCUCCAGAGGUUGAUCUAUCACAUCCUAGCUCAAGGUGGAUAUGGGGAGGAUCAGAUCCGCGAUAUGUCUCGGAUAUUGAUGUGAAUUGGGAUAGUUUGAUGAAGGUUAUAGAGAAGCUGGGUGAACAGAAUGACUAUCAGGGAAUUGGGCUUUUAAAUUUCAAUAGGAGUGAAAUCAAUCAUUGGAAGCAGCUUUUACCUGAUGUUACGCACAUUGAUCUCCAACUAGACUAUGCAGAUAGAAAUGUAACUUGGGAAUCUUUAUACCCAGAAUGGAUUGAUGAAGAGCAAGAAACUGAAGUUCCAGUUUGCCCAUCUCUACCCAAAUUGGAUGUACCUAGAAAAAGACUUGACCUCAUUGCAGUUAAGCUUCCAUGCAGAAAUGAGUGGAAUUGGUCAAGAGAUGUUGCCAGGUUGCACUUGCAGGUUGCAGCAGCAAAUCUUGCUGCUUCUGCCAAAGGGUUUUAUCCUGUCCAUUUGCUUUUUAUUACCAAUCGCUUUCCAAUCCCAAAUCUCUUUACUUGCAAGGAACUUGUCCUACGAGAAGGAAAUGUCUGGUUAUACAAGCCCGAUUUGAAUGUUUUGAGAGAAAAACUCCAGCUCCCAGUUGGCUCCUGUGAACUUGCUCUUCCUCACAGAGAAAAAGAACCAUUUUAUUCUGGAAAUCUGCGGCGAGAAGCAUAUGCAACAAUUCUACAUUCUGCACAUGUUUAUGUCUGUGGAGCCAUUGCAGCGGCUCAAAGCAUCCGCUUGUCAGGCUCAAACAGAGACCUUGUAAUACUUGUGGACGAGUCUAUCAGUGUUUACCAUAGAAGUGGACUUGAGGCCGCAGGAUGGAAAAUCAGGACAAUACAAAGGAUAAGAAACCCAAAAGCUGAGAAAGAUGCAUACAAUGAAUGGAAUUAUAGCAAGUUUAGGUUAUGGCAGCUAACAGAGUAUGACAAAAUCAUUUUCAUUGAUGCAGAUUUGCUUAUACUUAGGAACAUUGAUUUCUUGUUUGGCAUGCCAGAAAUUUCUGCAACAGGAAAUAAUGCUACUCUUUUUAACUCUGGGGUGAUGGUCAUUGAGCCUUCAAAUUGCACAUUCCAGCUACUGAUGGAACACAUUAAUGAAAUUGAAUCCUACAAUGGUGGAGACCAGGGCUACCUGAAUGAGAUCUUUACGUGGUGGCAUCGUAUUCCUAAGCACAUGAACUUCUUGAAGCAUUUCUGGGUUGGUGAUGAAGAAGAAGUUAAACAGAAGAAAAUUCGCCUUUUCGGUUCAGAGCCGCCAAUCCUCUAUGUUCUUCACUAUCUUGGCGUGAAGCCAUGGCUAUGCUUCCGAGACUACGAUUGCAAUUGGAACGUAGACAUAUUUCAAGAAUUUGCAAGUGAUAUUGCUCAUGAAAAGUGGUGGAAGGUACAUGAUGCAAUGCCUGAGCAGCUGCAUCAGUUUUGCCUCCUGAAAUCAAAGCAGAAGGCUCAACUAGAAUGGGACAGGAGGCAAGCUGAGCAAGCAAACUAUACUGAUGGACAUUGGAAAAUUAAAAUUCAGGAUCAUAGAUUAAACAAAUGUAUCGAUAAUCUGUGUUCCUGGAAGAGUAUGCUACGACAUUGGGGAGAGACGAAUUGGACUGAUGAUGAAUUCUUCAAUCCAACACCACCUGCACUUUCCACAGCUUCCUUAUCUGGCUUAUGAGUUUUGUACCUUCUCUAUUUAAAUGACACAGAAUCCAGACAUGGGUUCCCUUUUUUUUUUUUUUUUUUUUU